rnacentral:rRNA from 1 species
UAGUGGCGAACGGGUGAGUAACACGUGAGCAACCUGCCUCGAAGACUGGGAUAACCCCGGGAAACCGGAGCUAAUACCGGAUACCCCCACCGGGUCGCAUGGCCUGGUGAGGAAAUGGAUUCCGCUUUGAGAGGGGCUCGCGGCCUAUCAGCUUGAUGGUGGGGUAACGGCCUACCAUGGCACCGACGGGUAGCUGGUCUGAGAGGACGAUCAGCCACACUGGGACUGAGACACGGCCCAGACUCCUACGGGAGGCAGCAGUGGGGAAUCUUGCGCAAUGGGCGAAAGCCUGACGCAGCAACGCCGCGUGUGGGACGAAGGCCUUCUGGGUUGUAAACCACUUUCAGCAGGGACGAUUGUGACGGUACCUGCAGAAGAAGCCCCGGCCAACUACGUGCCAGCAGCCGCGGUAAUACGUAGGGGGCGAGCGUUGUCCGGAAUUAUUGGGCGUAAAGAGCUCGUAGGCGGCUUGGCAAGUCACGUGUGAAAUCUCCAGGCUCAACCUGGCGAUGCCACGUGAUACUGCCAUGGCUUGAGUCCGGUAGGGGACCAUGGAAUUCCUGGUGUAGCGGUGAAAUGCGCAGAUAUCAGGAGGAACACCAGUGGCGAAGGCGGUGGUCUGGGCCGGUAC